rnacentral:lncRNA from 13 species
GAGGUGUCUCUCUCUUGUUCCCACCUAUUUUAACUUUUAUGUUAGUCUCUUUUUCUGUUUUCUCUAGGCUGCUCCUCUUUUCUCACUGCUUCUCCUUAGAGUGUUUAUUUUAGAGAGCUUUUACUGAGAGCAGAAUGAAGAGUGCUCCUUGGUGCUUAUGAUUUUCAGGGCAGAUGGCCCUAUAUACAUGGAAAACUGGCCAGGAAACAUAAUGAGCUCCAAAGCUAACUAAAUGCUAGUAGAGAAAAUCAGUGAGGGUGUUUCUCCAAGCUCGGCCAGAAUUAGAGGCCACUGAAUCAUAGGAAAGCACUUCUCUCCUUUGAAAGGCCACGUUCACCCUGGUUAGCAGGUUGGAUAGACCUUGGCAGACAAUGAGAUGGGACCUAGUCUUGCUGAAUUUGGAACUGGGUUCUCAUCUGAAAUAUGAGCAACAGCAUAGCCAAACAAUCAUUUUUUCAUAUUUCUUUAAAAGUUAAAUCUCUGCCUUGUAGCAGUCUAAAAUGUUUGACUGGUUUUUCUUCCUUUCUGGUUUUAUGCUGACCAUGAACCUCAUGAGAAAACUUGCUCCUGUGCAUUCCAGUGGUUUAAGUAAGCAACUAUUUUUUUAAAGUCUUUUGAGGUCAGAGUAAGAAUUCCAAGUCUUUUGAGGUUCUACCUCUAAAAGGCAAUUUUUAAAGAGAAGAAAAUUCAUAUUUGAAUUUUGUCUUCAGAUUCUGCUUCAGUAAGUCUCCAAGUUCAAGGCUGAGGCCCACAUUAAGGGUUUUAAAUACCUUUCUUGGCUAAAAAGGAAUUAUGCAAAGAUAUUAAUUUAUUACCUUCCAGAUCUGGGCUGUAUAUGUGUUCACACUGAUGACUGUUUACUUUACUAGAUACAAAUAAAGUGGUUUUUGUUUACUGUGUUCCUCUUCUUGUAUUCCUGCUGCUCUUGACAUACCUCUAGAGGAACAUGCUGGAUUUCACUCUUGUUCUCGUCUCAUCAGCAGGAUCAGCAAUUGAGUUUGUACAGUUGCUCUGCAGAGCACACCUUCUCAUCCUGACUGUGGUACCCCUGUGCUGUGACACCUGUUGCACAGUGCAUUUCUGCCUGCUUGAAGGAUGUACACUACCCCCAGGUUCUGGAGAUAUCAGAGAAGAACCUUUGGGUUGAGCAUUCAGAGAAGAUGGAAGAAAGAAACAAAGAGGUGUUUUUAUCAUGCCACCAGAAAUGUACUUUGGAGUGAUAAUGCUUAGGCAUGCUGUGAGCCUCAAGAUGAAUUUUGUUCCUGCAAAAGGUUUUGUGUAAUGUGUUUGAAUAUUUACAUCAACCUAAGAGGAAAGAAGUUGAAAGGAGGUAGAACUGCUUCGAAACAAAAAUAAAAGAAUAUAUAGUCUUAAAAAAGUAAAUGUUUUUUAUAAAAAUAUGAUUGUCAACAAUUUCUCUGUGAAAGACAAUAUGAGCAUUGUAUAACUGAGUAAAAACUUCAGUUGUUCAAAUGUUUUAAGUAGG